GUUAGUGUAGCAAAGUUUGGCAUUGCAGAAGGCCUAAGCCCUUCGUGUAGAGAUUCAAAUUCUCUCGCUAACU
rnacentral:tRNA from 1 species